rnacentral:piRNA from 1 species
AUCAGAAAAAAGGAGAUAUCCGUGG